rnacentral:rRNA from 1 species
UAGCCCUGUAAAAUAAGUUUUAGAUUUUAAAAAUAUAAAGUAAAAUGGUACACGUCAUGUAUUAUUUUAAUAUUGGGGUCCCACCCUCAAAGUCUAAAAAAUUUUAACGAUUGAUAGCGAAUAAGUACCGUAAGGGAAAGGUGAAAAAGUAUUUUUGAAUUUGAAAAGAACUUGAAAUUUAAUGUUUAUAAUCAGUUGUAGCUUAUU